UGAGGAAUAUUGGUCAAUGGACGAGAGUCUGAACCAGCCAAGUAGCGUGCAGGAUGACGGCCCCAUGGGUUGUAAACUGCUUUUGUUUGGGAAUAAUCGACAUUACGUGUCAUGUUUUGCAUGUACCAUUCGAAUAAGGACCGGCUUAUUCCGUGCCCGCAGCCGCGGUAAUACGGAAGGUCCAGGCGUUAUCCGGAUUUAUCGGGUUUAAAGGGAGUGUAGGCGGUUGGUUAAGCGUGUUGUGAAAUGUAGAUGCUCAACAUCUGACUUGCAGCGCGAAGUGGCUGACUUGAGUACACACAACGUAGGCGGAAUGCAUGGUGUAGCGGUGAAAUGCUUAGAUAUCAUGAAGAACUCCGAUUGCGAAGGCAGCUUACGGGAGUGUUACUGACGCUUAAGCUCGAAGGUGCGGGUAUCGAACAGG
rnacentral:rRNA from 1 species